UUUUGAAAAAAAAAUAACCAUGAACAGGUCGAAUUCUUUUAGCACCAUCACAGCUGUCGUGCCCAACCGAAGGAGUUGAUACUUUAAUGUCACUUUCCAUAGUUUGUUUAAAGAUGAAUAAAGUUGCAUACCCCAAUUCCAACUUGACUCUCUUUGCAAUAUACUCUCAAAAUCAUUAUAAUCAAACCCAACUAGAAAGUUCCUCCCCGCCAAACCAUAGAACAAAAAAAGAGAAAAAAAGAAAAUAUUGAAAAAACUUUUAUACUUUAAUGUCACUUUCCAUAGUUUGUUUAAAGAUGAAUAAAGUUGCAUACCCAAAUUCCAACUCAACAAUCUUCUCUCUGCAAUAUGCUCUCAAAAUCAUUAUAAUCAAACCUAACUAGAAAGUUCCUCCCC
rnacentral:lncRNA from 1 species